AGAGUUUGAUCCUGGCUCAGAACGAACGCUGGCGGCGCGUCUUAAGCAUGCAAGUCGAGCGGCAAGUCAGUGCUUGCACUGACCUAGAGCGGCGGACUGGUGAGUAACACGUGGGUGACGCACCCUCCGGACGGGGAUAGCCUGUGGAAACACAGGGUAAUACCGGAUACGGUUCCGUAAGUUGGAGAUACGGGAGGAAAGGAGCUUCGGCUCCGCCGGAGGAGCGGCCUGCGGCCCAUCAGCUUGUUGGCGGGGUAAAGGCCCACCAAGGCAGUGACGGGUAUCCGGCCUGAGAGGGUGAGCGGGCACAUUGGGACUGAGAUACGGCCCAGACUCCUACGGGAGGCAGCAGCUAAGAAUAUUCCGCAAUGCGCGAAAGCGUGACGGAGCGACGCCGCGUGGACGAUGAAGGCCGGAAGGUUGCAGAGUCCUUUGGCGCCCGAGGAAAGGCCGGGGGAGGCAAUGCCCCCGGGGUGACUGUAGGGCGAGAACAAGCACCGGCUAAUUACGUGCCAGCAGCCGCGGUAACACGUAAGGUGCGAGCGUUGUUCGGAAUUAUUGGGCGUAAAGGGCAUGUAGGCGGCCGUGUAAGUCGGGCGUGAAAUGACGGGGCUCAACCCCGUCGCCGCGCCCGAUACUGCGUGGCUUGAGUCGGCGAAGCGGGACCGGAAUUCCUGGUGUAGGGGUGAAAUCUGUAGAUAUCAGGAAGAACACCGGUGGCGAAGGCAGGUCCCGGGCGCACGACUGACGCUGAGGUGCGAAGGUGCGGGGAGCAAACAGGAUUAGAUACCCUGGUAGUCCGCACAGUAAACGAUGCGCACUUGGUGUCCGGCCCUGAGGCUGGGCGCCAAAGCAAACGCGAUAAGUGCGCCGCCU
rnacentral:rRNA from 1 species